AGUAAAUAGAUACCCCGGGUAGUCCACGCCGUAAACGAUGAGUACUAGGUGUAGGAGGUAUCGACUCCUUCUGUGCCGCAGUUAAACACAAUAAGUACUCCGCCUGGGAAGUACGGUCGCAAGAUUAAAACUCAAAGGAAUUGACGGGGGCCCGCACAAGCAGCGGAGCAUGUGGUUUAAAUUCGAAGCAACGCGAAGAACCUUACCUAGACUUGACAUCUCCUGAAUAGUGUAGAGAUACAUGAAGCCCUUCGGGGCAGGAAGACAGGUGGUGCAUGGUUGUCGUCAGCUCGUGUCGUGAGAUGUUGGGUUAAGUCCCGCAACGAGCGCAACCCUUAUUACUAGUUGCUACCAUUAAGUUGAGCACUCUAGUGAGACUGCCCGGGUUAACCGGGAGGAAGGCGGGGAUGACGUCAAAUCAUCAUGCCCCUUAUGUCUAGGGCAACACACGUGCUACAAUGGUGAGUACAGACAGAUGCGAUACCGCAAGGUGGAGCCAAACUCUAAAACUCAUCCCAGUUCGGAUUGUAGG
rnacentral:rRNA from 1 species